AUUGAACGCUGGCGGCAGGCCUAACACAUGCAAGUCGAGCGGAUGAAGGGAGCUUGCUCCUGGAUUCAGCGACGGACGGGUGAGUAAUGCCUAGGAAUCUGCCUGGUAGUGGGGGAUAACGUCCGGAAACGGGCGCUAAUACCGCAUACGUCCUGAGGGAGAAAGUGGGGGAUCUUCGGACCUCACGCUAUCAGAUGAGCCUAGGUCGGAUUAGCUAGUUGGUGGGGUAAAGGCCUACCAAGGCGACGAUCCGUAACUGGUCUGAGAGGAUGAUCAGUCACACUGGAACUGAGACACGGUCCAGACUCCUACGGGAGGCAGCAGUGGGGAAUAUUGGACAAUGGGCGAAAGCCUGAUCCAGCCAUGCCACGUGUGUGAAGAAGGUCUUCGGAUUGUAAAGCACUUUAAGUUGGGAGGAAGGGCAGUAAGUUAAUACCUUGCUGUUUUGACGUUACCAACAGAAUAAGCACCGGCUAACUUCGUG
rnacentral:rRNA from 1 species